rnacentral:rRNA from 1 species
AGUCGAGGGGUAAGAGUCAGCUUGCUGACUACACGACCGGCGCACGGGUGCCUAACGCGUAUGCAACCUACCUUUAACAGAGGAAUAGCCCCGAGAAAUCGGGAUUAAUACCACAUAACAUUAUUAUAUGGCAUCAUAUUAUAAUUAAAACUCCGGUGGUUAAAGAUGGGCAUGCGUGACAUUAGCUAGUUGGUGAGGUAACUGCUCACCAAGGCUACGAUGUCUAGGGGUUCUGAGAGGAUGAUCCCCCACACUGGUACUGAGACACGGACCAGACUCCUACGGGAGGCAGCAGUAAGGAAUAUUGCGCAAUGGAGGCAACUCUGACGCAGCCAUGCCGCGUGCAGGAUUGAAGGCCUUAUGGGUCGUAAACUGCUUUUAUUUAGGAAUAAACUUUCGUACGUGUACGAAACUGAAGGUACUAAACGAAUAAGCACCGGCUAACUCCGUGCCAGCAGCCGCGGUAAUACGGAGGGUGCAAGCGUUAUCCGGAUUUAUUGGGUUUAAAGGGUGCGCAGGCGGACCAAUUAGUCAGUGGUGAAAUCCCGAGGCUCAACCUCGGAACUGCCAUUGAUACUGUUGGUCUUGAAUACGGUUGAAGUAGGCGGAAUGUAGCAUGUAGCGGUGAAAUGCAUAGAGAUGCUACAGAACACCGAUCGCGAAGGCAGCUUACUAAACCGAUAUUGACGCUCAGGCACGAAAGCGUGGGGAGCGAACAGGAUUAGAUACCCCUGGUAGUCCACGCCGUAAACUAUGAUCACUCGUUGUUGGCAAUACACAGUCAGUGACCAAGCGAAAGCGAUAAGUGAUCCACCUGGGGAGUACGAUCGCAAGGUUGAAACUCAAAGGAAUUGACGGGGGCCCGCACAAGCGGUGGAGCAUGUGGUUUAAUUCGAUGAUACGCGAGGAACCUUACCUGGGCUCAAAUGUAAGUUGACAGUUUCUGAAAGGGAAUUUUCUUCGGACAAUUUACAAGGUGCUGCAUGGUUGUCGUCAGCUCGUGCCGUGAGGUGUCGGGUUAAGUCCCAUAACGAGCGCAACCCCUACUCUUAGUUGCCAUCAGAUAAUGCUGGGGACUCUAGGAGAACUGCCUACGCAAGUAGAGAGGAAGGUGGGGAUGACGUCAAAUCAGCACGGCCCUUACGUCCAGGGCUACACACGUGCUACAAUGGCCGGUACAGAGGGCAGCCACCUGGUGACAGGGAGCGAAUCUCUAAAGCCGGUCUCAGUUCGGAUCGAAGUCUGCAACCCGACUUCGUGAAGCUGGAAUCGCUAGUAAUCGCGCAUCAGCCAUGGCGCGGUGAAUACGUUCCCGGGCCUUGUACACACCGCCCGUCAAGCCAUGGAAGCUGGGGGUACCUGAAGUCGGUGACCAU